GCUCGAUGCCCGUGGUUGGUUCUCCUGGAGCUCCGCUUUGCUUCCGUUUCUUUCAGCUCAAAAUCUUUGGCAGGAUGUAAAGGCUGUGACUUCCAGCACUUUGCUGAAGAAGAUGGUUGAAACUGGACAGCCUCGCUUUGUUCUCAAUCGCAGUGAGAAAACACUCGGUCUGUCAUCGUCGAGUGUGUUACAAGUGGGAGACCUCCAUAGGGCACUUCUACCGAGCCGGAUGCUGAAGCAAAGAACAAACAAACAAAAGAGGACAGUCAUUUUCAUCAGCGUUUCCAGAACUUGGAGAGGGAGGACGAAAGCAUCUCGUUUCUCACGUUCUUGAGAGGCAGCCCAGAUGUUACGUCAUCCAGUUAUACACACUGAAAACAGAGUCUAGAUCCCGUGAGGGGAACGAUUCAGGGUGCUCGUGAAAGAACUUGGAAGUCUCCGGAGAGGGACCAGAAUCACUCCUCAUCAACUCUUAAUUAUAUUUAUUUUUUAUGUGCAUUUAACUUUCAACCAACUGUGGGAAUAAGCCAACCUUGAAAGACAAACCCCAGCAAGAGCCACGCCAAGGUUCAUCUUUCCUUUCCCAAAGAAUCAUUCAUAAGAGGAAUGACUUAAAUAUAGGAAAAUAUGCUUGAAAUUAGGUGUUUAUGUGUCUGAACAACAAACCUUGCCAUUUCUCCUUGUGAGGGAGAUGGUCUUAGAGAAAGACUAUCUUCCCAGGCCAAGCUUCAGAGUUGCCAGGAGUAUAACUUGAGCCCAGGCAUAGAACUGUUUGCAUGGGACCCAUCACAGAGGUUCAGUUCUUUUAGGCUGGCCAGCAUUUUAAAAUAAAACUGAGCAUCCUCUAGGACAUCAAA